CAAGACGUACGAAUACGCUUGCUACCACAUCCAAAAACAAAAACAAGAAAAAUAAAUAGAGAAGGGAUCUCUCAUUUAUCCUCCCACUACUUCUUCACUCCCGGCCGGUUACCCACGAGGUCAUGAGAGCACUUGCAAUUUAUAAACUUCCAGACUUCCAAAGUCAAGAUUUCCCAGAAAUUUCCCAAAUUCAUUCGAUCCAAAAUUUCUCAAAUAAAAAUUUCAAGAGUACCCUUCGAUCCAAAUCCAAAUUUACAGGGUUUUGGCUUCUUUUCUAGCAAACGUUUUUUGACGGUGACUUUUACAUCUUCUCAAAACUCAAGUUGUGGCUGAAUUAUCAAUUGUGAGUAUAUAUUGUACAUUAGCAUUUUUUUAGGGUUUAUCAAUUGUGAAUUUGCGAGUUUUGAGUAGGAAUAUGAAUUUGAUAUGUUGGGGAUUUAUCAAGGGUAGUUUUUAAUUGAUAAAGAAAGACUGGGGGUUUUGAAUUUAUGACACUGUUCAAGAGGAUAUCCUCAUCUGGAUUUGGUAGAUACAUGAGAGACCAGUCUGAUGUAGUACGAGACGAAGCUUUAUCAGGUUUCAAUUCAUUGUGGACGCUUUUAUUUAGCUAUUGAUCAUUUUCUAUUCUCUUAGAAUGGAAAAUUGAAAUUUGUGUUUGUCUCUCAUAUAUUUCGUUGUUGCUGUAAGUCUGUAACUUUAGAAAACUAAAAAUUACCCAUGGCUGAGUAAUCCUUUAUGAGAAUUCUAAAGCCUGUUGUUUAACAAUUUUCAGAAAAAAUGAGGUCAAUCUUUUGUGAAAAAUUUAAUUUUGAUGCACGUUCUUCUGAUAUGGAGAGCCUUUUCAGAUGAUAUGGCAAAGAUGAUAUAGUGGAUAUGAAGUCUGGUAAUUUUCUGGACAAAUAGGUGCAAUAUCUUGUACUGCAGCUGUUGCUAUAUGUGUUUUUGUUUUGCUUUGCUAAUGUACUAGUUGAAAUAUUUUUUCGGCAAACAAUAUCUAUGCCAAGAAGCAUCUUGGAAGAAAUUAGAUAACAUUAACCUAGAUAACAUUGAAGCAAAUCCUCAAACAUCAAACCAUAUCUUACUGAUUAAUCUGAGGGAAUCAAGUAUCCUGUGGAAUCCAUCUAAAAACUGUUGUAGACUCUUAUGUCUCUUCUGAUUCCCAACCAGCUUAGUGUUCUAUGAAUACAUAUCUUUGAGUGUUGGUAAUUAGAUUAAAUAGGAACAAAAAUGCAUGGAGAAAUGGAUUCUUAGGAAGGCUUUGAUGAUGAGAAGCAGGCAAGUAGCCUUACUUGUCAAAGGCAGAAGGAGUAAUUCAGUGAUGGUGUAGGAUACAGUUGGAUUGACGGACUCAAAGCGCAUGUUGAACAACAGGCAACUUCUUUAGAACACCAAAACACAUACUCCAUAAUCAAUUAGUUGUGUUUUUUGUAAUCAACACAACAAUGUCAAAUGAUUGGCGCUUAAAUUUAAUUUUGCAAUUGGUUCUUACAUGUGACAUAUAAGAUGAUGCAGCAAGCUGAACAUAUCUUCCCAUGUAACACUCCAAAGAAAAUGCUUGCAUAUGUUUGAGUGUUGGUAAUUGGAACUGGUUCUUUUACCAUUCAUUCCGUUAAUUUGUUUGUUGUCGGGAUUGAGGUGUCGUGUUACUGGUUGAAAUUACAAUAUCGAUGUACUAGAGUUUUAAUUUUAAUUCCGGAGGAACGGAGGAAGGGAGUUGAAUAUUGAGUUUUCAUGUUACUAGUUGAAAUUGCGUUAAGAGUUUUAAUUCAGGACGGAAACAUGAAGAGGAUCAUGACUUGUUGUAAUUUGUAGUUAUUAUUAUUGAUUAGAGGUAAUUCAGACUCUGAAACUCUCCCUCGUUUUGUGCAGUAAAGGCCCAGAUUAUUUUCUUCCUGUGGGUUUCAAGUUGAGGCUAUAAGCCUAUGAUCGAGAUGCUACUGCUGAGAGUUCAGAACUAUGUGAUGUAAGUAUAAAAGUCGUCUUAUAUUGAUCUUGAUUUUCUGUUUGGACUACGUUAUUAUGUGCUUCAUUAUUUUUAUACAUUCUUACAAGUAACCUGCAGUACACUUGACUUUUAAAAGAAUCAUAGUGGUAUUUUUGGGAUUGAUAUAGAGUGAACUGAAAUUCUACAACUUUGUUUAUAAAAUCUAUACAGUAUAUACUUCGUAUUUAAACUGGACCAGGAAGUAAGUUUCAGUCUGAAAAAUACAAAGUAGGCCUCAAUGUUUAUAGGUGGAUAUGAAAAGUUAAAUUCCUCAAUAUGUUAGGAUUAUGUUUAGCUUAAACUACACAAGAUUACAUGUACUUUUGCUUCUUUAAUUUGAAAAUUAUGUCCUAACUCUUUUCUUGUUUUACCCCUGAUUGUUUUCUCUUGCUAGACUUUUGAAACAGAGAGAUACGUGCAUUAGUAUUAUAUAUCAGAGAUACUAGAAUCUAGGGUGCCAUAUUCUUAUGUCAGUUAAGAUCGAGCCUAGGAUGUGUCAUUGAUCCUUCUUUUAUUAAUACGAGUGUUGUAAUUGCUAAUGCUCAUGACUUAUGAGUUCCAAGGGAUUCCUCUCCCCUAUAAUAUAGAGAGUCGGGAAGAGAACAAAACUGAUAUUGGGAGGGGAAUGUUAUUAAUCAGUGUUUUGUGAAUGAAAAAGUUCUAUUACUGGUUUUUUCGGGACCGUAUAAUAAUUUCUACUCUUCCUGUUCAUUUGCAUCUUCUCAGAACUUUCUAUAAAACACGAUGAUGUAGACUAUUGUUUUCUAAUCCAGGUUUUGGGUUACAUUCACAAAUCACAACUGGUUGCAAGUUUGCAACAUACAAUGUUAAUGAGUAGGAAAGGCUCUUAAAGAGUAAUAAAUAAAAUUAACAGUAUAGUGAAGUCAAAGGAACAAACAGAAAUAAGUAGACAGAAAAAACCAGAAAAGAAGACACUAUAAAACAAUCAAAAUUAGUGGAAAGGCGAUCAUGGCUUGUCAUACAGUACAUGGACUAGGCUAGAAAAGUCAGUUACAGGUAAUGAUAUGAGAGUCAGAACAUAAUUUUUUUCAGGCAUCGAUCAGGCUAUGUCUAAUUUGAAGUAUAUGUCAUACCCCCUCCAUUCUCUAUUAUCUUCCUAUUUACUGCAGCAACAUAAACCGGACAGGAUGGAGUUAAUGAAAAGUGGUUAAUGAAUGGAUUUGUAUACUUGUAUCUGACAUAUAGUCCUCGAGUUUUAAAGCUCUUUGCUUGUUGGUAGCUGCAUAUGCAGAUGGGAAUACAAAUCAGUUCCUAGUUCAUAUAGAGCUUAAAUAAUCCAGAAAAUACUUGUGUAUUAGAUAUUCAAUUUGGAGGUUCCUCUCCUUAUUUGAUUAAUAAACAACUUGCUGAAUGCGCCUUGUCACAACUUCUUCACUACAUCUUUGCAAAAACUAUAUUUGGUUGCGAGGAACAAGGACAUGUUGAGGGCUUAUGAGCUUGGUGUUCAGAUUAUGUCAGUUGUUUUAUUUAGGUUCAGAACCUUGGUGACCCUUAUCUGAUGUUGUUUGUCAUUAGAGAUUACAGUUUCUUUGUUUCCAGUGAACAAUUUCUCGGUUGUCAAUUAAAGGAUUAUAUUGUUUUCAUGCAUAACGUUUUCCCUCCUUAUUCGGGUAUUGUUUUGGAGAUCCCUAAAGAAGAUGGAGGGGGAUUUACAUUUCUAAGAUUGAAAGAAAUGAUCGUGCUUUCAUGCCGAUUUUAUCUUACAUGAUUCCCUCUUUAUUUUUGUUCACUUCCAUCUUGCGUUUUAUAGGUGCCCCACAAUAUCGUAGGUAUGUAAAUACCUGAAUCUCAUACUUAUCUUUCAACCAAUUAUUUACAACUAGAUAGAUAAAUGUGACAACUUUGUUUAUUUCUUUUAACUGAUUAUUAAUUGACAUUUUUUAUUUCAUAGUGCUCUCGGCGAAAUGACAUUGAUUUUUGAUUAUAUGGGACUGGAUUCAUCGGGCGUGACAUUAUUUUUUUGUGCUUUAUGUGUAGGAUUUGUGUUUUCCAAUUUGUGACAAUGGAUAUUGUACAUGGUUAAAAGCUAAGCUAUGAAAUGUUUAUUUUAUGUAAUUGAGAUAUGAGAUGACUUUUGUUGUUUAUAUUGAAUUGUUGUUAAUUGAUUUAAAAUAUUUUAUAUUGUAUUACUAUGAUAAUUAAGAUACUUUUUCUAAA